rnacentral:rRNA from 1 species
UACGUAGGGGGCGAGCGUUGUCCGGAAUCAUUGGGCGUAAAGCGCGUGUAGGCGGCCCGGUAAGUCCGCUGUGAAAGUCCAGGGCUCAACCCUGGGAUGCCGGUGGAUACUGUCGGGCUAGAGUCCGGAAGAGGAGUGUGGAAUUCCUGGUGUAGCGGUGAAAUGCGCAGAUAUCAGGAGGAACACCAAUGGCGAAGGCAGCUCGCUGGGACGGUACUGACGCUGGAGACGCGAAAGCGUGGGGAGCAAACAGGAUUAAGAAACCCCAGUAGG